rnacentral:rRNA from 1 species
GAUGAACGCUGGCGGCGUGCUUAACACAUGCAAGUCGAACGGGAAACCUUUUAUUGAAGCUUCGGCAGAUUUAGCUGGUUUCUAGUGGCGGACGGGUGAGUAACGCGUGGGUAACCUGCCUUAUACAGGGGGAUAACAGUCAGAAAUGACUGCUAAUACCGCAUAAGCGCACAGAGCUGCAUGGCUCGGUGUGAAAAACUCCGGUGGUAUAAGAUGGACCCGCGUUGGAUUAGCUGGUUGGUGAGGUAACGGCCCACCAAGGCGACGAUCCAUAGCCGGCCUGAGAGGGUGAACGGCCACAUUGGGACUGAGACACGGCCCAGACUCCUACGGGAGGCAGCAGUGGGGAAUAUUGCACAAUGGGGGAAACCCUGAUGCAGCGACGCCGCGUGAAGGAAGAAGUAUCUCGGUAUGUAAACUUCUAUCAGCAGGGAAGAA